rnacentral:rRNA from 1 species
AACGAACGCUGGCGGCAUGCCUAACACAUGCAAGUCGAACGAGACCUUCGGGUCUAGUGGCGCACGGGUGCGUAACGCGUGGGAACCUGCCCUUAGGUUCGGAAUAACUCCCCGAAAGGGGUGCUAAUACCGGAUAAUGUCUUCGGACCAAAGAUUUAUCGCCUUUGGAUGGGCCCGCGUUGGAUUAGCUAGUUGGUAGGGUAAAAGCCUACCAAGGCGACGAUCCAUAGCUGGUCUGAGAGGAUGAUCAGCCACACUGGGACUGAGACACGGCCCAGACCCCUACGGGAGGCAGCAGUGGGGAAUGUUGGACAGGGGGCGAAAGCCUGAACCAGCAAUGCCGGGUGAGGGAUGAAGGCCUUAGGGUGGAAAAGCUCUUUUACCCGGGAUGAUAAUGACGUAACCGGGAAAAUAAGCCCCGGCAAACCCCUG